ACAAACAAAAAUAACAUUCAAUAAAGAUAAAUCCUUAAGAUUGUUGGAAAAAUAUGACAUAGAAUUAUUUCAUUAAUAUAAAUUAAAGAAAUAUUGGUACAAAUAUAUAUGAUACAUAAUAAAAUAAAAAUAUGGAACAAGAAGAACUUAUCGAUUUGAUGACUGAGGCGUGCAAUGCACUGGGCUUAAGAGUAUUUCACCACCACAGGUAAGUUACCCGGUGC
rnacentral:lncRNA from 1 species